UAGUCUGAAGCUAUACUGAAUUUUGCAGAAUUACGUGGCUGGAAAUCCUGCUCCUGUGCUGUACAUUAAGAACCUGGCAAAAGAUGUUGUUCCUGAUGAUUUCUGCUAUAUAUUUGGAUCAGUAUUUGGAAGCAAUGAUGCAGCUAAAUCUGGUAUAAGCGUGAAGUUAAUGCAGGAGGGAAGAAUGAGGGGCCAAGCCUUUGUGACAUUUCCAUCAGUUGAACUUGCUCAGCAUGCUUUGAAUCUAGUGAAUGGUUAUGUGUUCAAAGGUAAACCGAUGAUCAUCCAGUUUGGUCGGAAUCCUGCAGCUGCUAAAGCAAACUAAAAUUGUUUCUGCUACAUCAACAGAAGCCCUUUUUCCUGCCACUCUCAUGUGAUUAGCUGCUGACCCUUCCUGCAUCAACAAUUUUUUGGCGCAAAGAACUGGCGCAUCGGCCUAAAAAAGGCAGGAAUUGAGUGGAGUGUCAUCGUAUUGACCCAUGUUUACCUACCGAGAUUUUGUGGCCGUGGAAGCUGGAGGUUUCGACGAUACAUAUAUUUGCAUGGUGUACUACGAUAUGUAUCCGCGGUGUUGAUAACUUGGGUUUUGUGAAUGUAAUCUUUACAUUAAUGAUCACUUUCAGUAUUUCAGAAAAAGCAUGUAGCAAAACUGUGAUGGGAGGUUACCAGGAGGGGGCAAUGUUUUCCCAACAUUGCUGGUUCCGAAGCAGUUUAUUUCCACAUGCUUCCCAUUGCUUGAAGGGGAUUCGAUAAAGUUGAAAGGACCCGAAAAAUUAGUA